AACGAACGCUGGCGGCAUGCCUAACACAUGCAAGUCGAACGAAGCCUUCGGGCUUAGUGGCGCACGGGUGCGUAACGCGUGGGAAUCUGCCUCUUGCUUCGGAAUAACAGUUAGAAAUGACUGCUAAUACCGGAUGAUGUCCCCCUGAGAGAUCUUGGGGACCAAAGAUUUAUCGGCAAGAGAUGAGCCCGCGUAGGAUUAGGUAGUUGGUGGGGUAAAGGCCUACCAAGCCGACGAUCCUUAGCUGGUCUGAGAGGAUGAUCAGCCACACUGGGACUGAGACACGGCCCAGACUCCUACGGGAGGCAGCAGUGGGGAAUAUUGGACAAUGGACGCAAGUCUGAUCCAGCAAUGCCGCGUGAGUGAUGAAGGCCUUAGGGUUGUAAAGCUCUUUUACCAGGGAUGAUAAUGACAGUACCUGGAGAAUAAGCUCCGGCUAACUCCGUGCCAGCCGCCGCCGUAACAC
rnacentral:rRNA from 1 species